CGAGGCUAUCUCACUCUUCCAACUUUGCUUCUGUGAGCUUUGUGAUAGCGUUUGCAAAUCCAAGAUAGGAUGCUGAAUUACCCAGUCACCCAAAUCCAGAGCAGGCAGGCUCUAUUUCAAUUCUGUGGUUCCUUGUAUGUGUGAUUAAUGGUGGAGCCCAGGCCAAAAGACAAGCAUCGGAAUGCAAAGGACCACCCACGAAGUGGCGUCUUUACUGCAUCCUGAACUGGAGACCUCUGGCUCACUACUGCUGCUGCAGUUCUGCUGAGACCAUAGAAGAAUCUCAGCACUGACCUGUCAGUGUUCCCUCUGGCCUCCAAAGUCCAGGAGAUCAGUCACACUGUCUUUGAGCUUGAGUUGAGGCCAAUGCUCAUUUUAUUCCUACUCCAUGGAGACUGUUGUCAGUGAAAGGCUAAUAGGGGACACACACAGUGCAGCUCUGGACCCUGGGACUUGGAAAGACUUCCUGAGCAAACUUGCUAUGUGAACCCACCUGACUCACUUCCUGCUCAGCUCCUCUAAGAAGGGCAAUCCAUCUGGUAGUCUGCUUGGCAGAGUUAUGGUGAUCUUCAUCUUUCAGAGUUCCUCUUUCUACAGCUCACCAGUGAGAGAAUGAUGGAGUGGAAGCCAUAGGAACUACAGGGAGAAAUGGAAGAGAAGCAGAAUGUGCCAGGAGCAGUCUGGUCUCUUUGGUGUUUUAGAAAGUUGACCACAGCGCAGAGUCAGGCAAGCAGCACCCUACUGGGGACCCACAAUGGAUCCUGGCCUAUGCCAUUUUAUGUACCCUACUGGGAAGAGGGAUGAGUUCUGCUGGGGAGCCUCCUCUUGCUACAGAUGGCCCUACUGUGAGGUAGGCCGAGGAUUUCCAAUGACCUCUUUGUCCAACAUCUUGCUCAUGGAAGCUGUAUUUGUUCACUUUUCUGACCAAGUACCAGAUUUUACCCUCCAACUGAGGAUGUGCCAGGAGCUUUCACUGUCCUGGAGGGGAGGAGGAUGAGGAGGUUCCAAAA